AUUGAACGCUGGCGGCAUGCCUUACACAUGCAAGUCGAACGGCAGCACGGGUGCUUGCACCUGGUGGCGAGUGGCGAACGGGUGAGUAAUACAUCGGAACAUGUCCUGUAGUGGGGGAUAGCCCGGCGAAAGCCGGAUUAAUACCGCAUACGAUCUACGGAUGAAAGCGGGGGACCUUCGGGCCUCGCGCUAUAGGGUUGGCCGAUGGCUGAUUAGCUAGUUGGUGGGGUAAAGGCCUACCAAGGCGACGAUCAGUAGCUGGUCUGAGAGGACGACCAGCCACACUGGGACUGAGACACGGCCCAGACUCCUACGGGAGGCAGCAGUGGGGAAUUUUGGACAAUGGGCGAAAGCCUGAUCCAGCAAUGCCGCGUGUGUGCAGAAGGCCUUCGGGUUGUAAAGCACUUUUGUCCGGAAAGAAAUCCUUGGCCCUAAUACGGUCGGGGGAUGACGGUACCGGAAGAAUAAGCACCGGCUAACUACGUG
rnacentral:rRNA from 1 species